rnacentral:snoRNA from 1 species
AAUAUAACACAGAUUAGGGAACUUUGCAGGCGAAGAUCCCAAACCAAUACAUAUGAGAAUACCUGCAUGUUAGUCUUAAGUUCUGAUAGAAAUGACAUGCAAUUAUGCUACCAUUCUUGACUAUCAGGAUGUGACCAGUGUGCGUACACU